UGGGGAAUCUUGCGCAAUGGGCGAAAGCCUGACGCAGCCAUGCCGCGUGGAUGAUGAAGGUCUUAGGAUUGUAAAAUCCUUUCACCGGGGACGAUAAUGACGGUACCCGGAGAAGAAGCCCCGGCUAACUUCGUGCCAGCAGCCGCGGUAAUACGAAGGGGGCUAGCGUUGCUCGGAAUUACUGGGCGUAAAGGGCGCGUAGGCGGACAGUUAAGUUGGGGGUGAAAGCCCGGGGCUCAACCUCGGAAUUGCCUUCAAUACUGGCUGUCUUGAGUACGGGAGGGGUGAGUGGAACUCCGAGUGUAGAGGUGAAAUUCGUAGAUAUUCGGAAGAACACCAGUGGCGAAGGCGACUCACUGGCCCGUUACUGACGCUGAGGCGCGAAAGCGUGGGGAGCAAACA
rnacentral:rRNA from 1 species